AGUGAACGCUGGCGGUAGGCCUAACACAUGCAAGUCGAACGGCAGCACAGUAAGAGCUUGCUCUUACGGGUGGCGAGUGGCGGACGGGUGAGGAAUACAUCGGAAUCUACUUUUUCGUGGGGGAUAACGUAGGGAAACUUACGCUAAUACCGCAUACGACCUACGGGUGAAAGCAGGGGAUCUUCGGACCUUGCGCGAUUGAAUGAGCCGAUGUCGGAUUAGCUAGUUGGCGGGGUAAAGGCCCACCAAGGCGACGAUCCGUAGCUGGUCUGAGAGGAUGAUCAGCCACACUGGAACUGAGACACGGUCCAGACUCCUACGGGAGGCAGCAGUAGGGAAUAUUGGACAAUGGGCGCAAGCCUGACCCAGCCAUACCGCGUGAGUGAAGAAGGCCUUCGGGUUGUAAAGCCCUGUUGUUGGGAAAGAAAAGCAGCAGGUGAAUACCCCGAUGUUCUGACGGUACCCAAAGAAUAAGCACCGGCUAACUUCGUG
rnacentral:rRNA from 1 species